UCAUAGCGCACUCCACUGAAUGAGUGGCAGCGUGAAAUCCUACGGGAGGGGAGAAACUUCUGCUAAGUAUGUUUGACUAACAUGCAAAAACAAAUAAUUGGCAGGAAAUUCACUUUUAAUUGAUUAUUUUUAAAAGUUAAAUGAAUGGUUAGAGAGUGGUGCCUUUCAGCAUUAAUUAUCAGUGGUGACUCACUCUGUGACUAUGAUAAGGCAUAGACUCAGAUGGUAAAUUGGCCUCUAAAAGGGCCAGUUUAGCUUCUGAAAAUGUAAAGAUCUGAUACAAGACUGUAGAGUGUGUGUGUGUAUAUGUGUGUGUGUUUUUAAUAGGUGCACUGAAAAUUGUGUGACUGCAGGCAAACUAGCAGACAGGCACACUCGAGCUCAAUUGGGCAGGGGCCUAGGUGGAGCCAGACUUUGGCUCAAUGUCUCCCUGCUUCCUGCCUACAUGCAUUGUGACUUUUAGCUAUAUGUAUAAAAUCUGAUGUGUAAAUAUGCGCUUACUUCCAUAUAGGUAGUGACCUCGGACCCAGAAACAAUAACCCUCAUUCCCCCCCACCCCAUGUUUCAAAUACCAGGCAGACUGGAUGGAACAGUUAACAACUGUUAUAUUUUCACCUGCUAGAGCCGCUAAAGUGAUAAACUUCACUCCCCCAUCCCCACUCCCACCCAACUAAAAAUUAAUUUAAUUCUUUAAAAAGCUCAUAGGUUAGUUUAUUCAGCCUAAUAUCACAUAUUGUGCACAUCCUGUAAAUUUUUGCAAGUUGUAUUUAAUGAAUUGGUCAGGACGGAGAUUGUAUUUUUAAAUAACGUUUGUACAGGUCACAUUUAAGGCUGUCGUAGAUUUUAAUAAAUCAAGUGAUUUUACUUGGUUGAUUUUUAUAAAUCAAGGUAGACUUGAACUAAUUUUUAUAAACAGAUAAAGGAACUGAGUAUUAUAAAUCUUCGUCCAACAAGUAGUACAAGUCUUGCAGGAAACACUGGUUACUUUUCACUGUUUCACCUGUCUUUAAUAGCUUCUGGAUCACUGAUCCCAUCUCUCGGUUCUUGCAGAAGAUAGAUCAUUCAGUCAGGAAUUACUUGUUUGCAUUUCAGUCGUCAACUGACGAUUGUCAUCCUCUUUAUUCCUGUGCUUUUGGUAAUUAUAUCUUCCCCACCCUCAUUUAUUUAACUUCCUUUUUGUUUGGAGGAACUUUUGCCAUCAAUGGAGCAUCCUAAUUAAUCCUUUGGAGCUCCUCUUUGUCCCCAGUGAGCAGGUGGGUCAGGGAACCUUAUUCUGUGGGGAGAGCCCAAGAGUGAAUGUUUUUAUUUAAACCUUUGUGAAGUGUUUGGAGACCUUGCCUGUUCAAAACAACAAUUUUAAUGCUGCAAACUCCAGCCGUCCUUUCCCUCCUCUCCUGUGCAUAACCCCAUGGGCGACCCAGAGUAUGAUUUACUCUCUUGACUUUGGGCAGAUAUCCUUCCUCCUUCUGUGAAGUGAGAUAUGUUCUGCCCUCUGAGAUAAGGUACCUCACUUUUCUGAGGUGCAAAGUGAACCACUUUUCUGGACUCUGAACUUUCUGGCAGUGAAGUUAUCCUGACACUAAUGGACUGUAGAUCAGAAGCCUCUUGUUAAAGUGUAAUAAACAGUGCUAAGAGACAAGGACUUAGUUAACUUUCUGGAGUGUAAUUCUGUGUUCAGCCGGUGGGUAUUAAAAUCCACUGUUAGAGGAGUUGUGGGUAACCUUUAGUUUUGAAUGUAUUGUUCUUCAGCUUAGAUGUUUUUAGUUCAUUCACAAGCCCAUAACUAAUUACCCAUGAAUUGAGCAACUUUCUAGGCCAUUUCCAAGGCAGUUAAGAAUCAACCACAUUGACUGAGAAUUAAGAUCCCUUGUGAAUAACAUUUGUGAACCAGAUGGGUUUUUAUGACAAAUUAGUAAUUUCAUAGUCAUUGUUACAGAUUCUGGAUGUUAAUUCCAGAUUUGUUAAUCAAUUGAAUUGAAAAAUGUUUGUGGUGAGACUUGAACUCUCUCCUCAGCAUUGCUAGUCUAGGCCUCUGGAUUACUAGUCUACUAAUGCAACCACUGGCCUACCAUAUGACCUAUUAAUGUGCACCCCCUUGCCACAAUAUGCUGGAAGUUUGUCUUCUGCAAACUUUGGAAAUACAUAGACAUUUUCCAUUCCCUUUUUUGAUGAUGUUCUUUAAAAAUUGACCAUGUUUAAAAAUGGCAACAAUAGGACAAGUCUUUAAGAGUGUUCUCAGAAGAGUGCUUUCUGGAAUGUACAGCAACUCUACAUUCGGAACCCUAGUUUUCUGACCCUACCAGUGAUGUUCUACAUAAACAGAUCUUGUCUAAGGCAGUAUUUAAAGAGCCCUUAAAAUCCUGCAUCAGAACCAAAGCUUGGUGCAAACUUAGAUUGUUUCUUUCUCUGUAAAAGUAACCUGUAGCAGAGGAGAUUAAGGUUUUAAUGUGCCUACCAGCCAGUGUUGGCAGCUCGCUGAACCUUUCUUUGAUGCUGUACUUGUAUACAAACCCAGAGAAUUCUCCUGUUUUCGAUGAUUGCAUCUAAAUGUAAGCAUAAUUUCCACUUUGCCAGAUCACAAAGUAUUCCAGCCGCUUUAAACAUCUGGAGGUAGCAGCAAGCACUUAUUUAGUGUAAUGACCUGCAGAGAGUAAAUCCAGAUAGUUGAUGUGGUUGAAAAAAAUUUGAGAUUUAACCAGUCCAGCUGAUGUGUGGAAUGUUAUUUUCUGGUCUCUGCAUAGUUUGAAGAUAAACAGGAGAAGAUUGAGUGGUGCUGUGUCAGCAUGGAUUUGAGCUGCUUGUAUAAUGGUUUAAGUGCACUGCCUGAGAGGUCCUGCUUCAUUGGUGUAAUUCACCGCGGGAUGCCUGAAAAAACAUGCAAUAGGCACUAUGUAAAUGUAAAUAUUUUUUCUUUCUAAUGCAUUGGAUGCAGCACAAAACCUAAUUUGCCUCAUUCCCAAAGACUGAUGGACAGGAGAUUCUGGUGAAAUGGAAGCCUUGGUUUUCCCCUCAGGAGCUGGGACCACUGUCUUGGGUCUUACAAAAUGGUGGACAUGAGUCUGGCUGGUGGAGAGUUAGGAGACUGGCUUGGAACAGAAGUAACCAAGACUUUUUUAACUGUGUAGUUAUCGGUAAAUCAUUCAGAGAUGAAGUAACUACCUGUCUGCAGUUUAGCAACUAAGAAAUUACACAAGGUUAACUUUGCUAGAACAUUGUUGGUUAACUUGUCUUGAGAACAGUGGUUACAGACUAAGGCUAAAAAUGAGGAGCCAGUAACUAGGUUUAUGUUUUUGAUGUGGAGAGGGACAGUUGUUAGAUGGAUAUAUGUUUUCCACAUUAUUUAUACUGUUGCCUUUACAUGCAACUCUGUGAAUCUAUUGUUCAGCCUGAGCCAUUAGCAAUGCCAAAGUGUAGGGUUCGGUUUGGGCUCUGAAGGUUAAAGCUUGAGUGUGAGAUGAAACACUCCAGUUCUGCUCACUCCUCAUUGGGCUGACCUCUGUAGUUAAAUCACCCGUGGACUCAGGGCUGCCUUCCAAAUGUGAUUACAAAGAAUACACUGGUCAUUUAGACUUAUUUUUUUCUGUUACUUGAAUCUACUUUUCACUAGUUUCAUUUCCUUACUGUAAAGUAAAGGGACUUGACUUGUGGAUUGAUCUAUCACUUCAGAAAUUGAUGCCUUAUGUAGGUCAACCUUUUUAAAUCGGACAGUUGUGAAUGUUUUGUUUCAGUUAGGGUGACCAAGGUGCAGGGCUAAAACAUUGCGAGGUCCAGAUAACUUUGAACCUGGUGGGGUUCUGCUGUUUCUGAAGUAAAAUACUAAGUAGAAAUUGAAACUCUCUGGUCCGAUAUUCUGUGGUAUGACAACUCCCCAUGGUCCGGCAGAUCUGUAGUAAUUAACUAAUUCUAACUAAGAUAUAAAAUUAACUAAGAUCUUCAUAAUCUGUAGCUAAUUAAACUACCAAUGCAACUUCUGCGAUCUUGGCUGACAACAUUUCUGACUUGGGUUACAACCAUAAGACAUAGGAGCAGACGUAGGCCAUUCAGCCCAUCGAGUCUGCUCUGCCAUUUAAUCAUGGCUGGUUUAUUAUUCCAUCUCAACCCCAUUCUCCUGCCUUCUCCCCAUAACCUCUGGCACCCUUACUAAUCAAGAACCUAUCAACCUCUGCUUUAAUUAUACCCAAUGACUUGGCCUCCACAGCCAUCUUGGCAAUGAAUUCCACAGAUUCACCACCCUCUGGCUAAAGAAAUUCCUCUUCAUCUCUGUUCUAAAGGGAUGUCCUUUUACUCUGAGGCUGUGCCCUCUGGUCCUAGACUCUCCCACGACUGGAAACAUCCUCUCCACGUCCACUCUAUCCAGGCCUUGCAAUAUUCAGUAGGUUUCAGUGAGAUCCCCCCUCAUCCUUCUAAACUCCAGUGAGUACAGACCCAGAGCCAUCAAACAUUUCUCACAUGUUAACCCUUUCAUCCCUGGGAUCAUUCUCAUAAACCUCCUCUGGACCGUCUCCAGUGCCAGCACAUCCUUCCUUAGAUAUGGGACCCAAAACUGCUCUCAAUGUGGUCUGACCAACGCUUUACAAAGCCUCAGCGUUACAUCCUUGCUUUUAUAUUCUAGCUCUCUGGAAGUGAAUGCUAACACUGCAUUUGCAUUCCUUACUACUGACUCAACCUGCAAGUUAACCUUUAGGGAAUCCUGCACAGGGUUACGCACAGUUCUUGGAGCCCUUAUGUGACCAGGGGAGUGUCCGUAGUUAAAAAGAACAGUUCUCCUGCUUGGAGUAAGAUGAUCGGGAGUGAUUUCUGUGGUCUGGAUUUUCUGUGAUCAGGCACCAGACAGGUUCCAAGGGUGCCGGACUUAAAGAGUUUCAACCUGUAACGUUUUACUUGCGGUUACUGUUGUUAUGGAGGAAUAGUAUGAGUUAACCCUUGGGUAAGGUUCUGGAUUGAUAGCCAGAGGAACCAAAUACUUUGUUCCCUGAAUUUUGCCACAGCUGUAGCCCUGUUAAUGUGUCUUUAGUUGAUGUGAGGACCCCUUGCCACUGGUUAUAGAGCUUACUCCACACUGAAUGGAAUUUUGUUUUCUCCUUUUACUCAGAGGGUACUUUCAAUUGAAAGAGUAAAAGCUUAAAUGGAGCUGCCAAAGUCAUGUGAGACUAUCAGCCAACCCUGGGUCUUCUGUACACACCAUGUGGGCAGUAAGGGGGUUUUUAGGAAUGCCAUUAACUCAACCCACAAUCUGCUUCCUGCAAAACUUGAAUUUCUACUCCCCAGCCGAAUGCCUCAGUAAAUUCACUUUGAUCCAGGGACUCAGUGAGGUCGUCCAUUACUUUUGCUCCCCCAUUUUACCCAUUGUUUUCCUACCUGACUCGAGGAACCAAAAGCUAUUUGCAGCUCUCUGUGUAUCUGUAUGGUAUUUUCACAAUUCUUAAAGACUGGAUGUGCGAUGGUAAAUGAAAUCCACUACAAUGGUAACUACACUUCAAAAUUACUUCAUUGACUGUUAAAUGCUUUGAGACAUCAUGAAAGGAAUAAGUAAGGUGCUAAACAAAUGCAAGUCUUUUUUCUUUCUUACCUUCAUUAGAAACCGUUAAAUGCUUGGUUGAUUGAAGGGCCACAGUGCUAUUUCUAUCUGUCUCCCAAUCCCUAUUUUGAGAACUGACUCUUCAUCAUUAAAAAUCAUGAAGCAAUCUGUAUGUGAUUAUCAUCAAAUUUGUUAAGAGCCAGCAGUUAGACCAGAAAACUGCUUUAUUAGUCGGGUUCUGCAUGCGAAUUUUACUUUCCAGUGAGAAAUGUACUGAAGAAUUCUUGAGUAGAUGGAAGUACCCAAAGGUGUGUGUGUUGCUAGCUUGUCACACUGAACCUGACCGAUUAAAACAGAAGACCAUUUUCUGUUUUUGUCUUGAAAGUUUGUACUCAUUCAGCCCCCUCUUCUGUCCCCACUUCCCACUCCUUAUGUACCAUUGAACCAAUGCUGACUUAGCUCUGGGUUAUUAAGCUGUGAUUUUUGUCCAACCAGUAGAUAUUUAUUUGGAUAAUGUUAGACAAGUCAGUGGAGCUAUUUCUGUGCUGCUAAAACCCAUCUAGAACGUAACUUGGUUUAAGCUCUAACACGUGCCCUUCUGACUGAUGACAUUUGGCAACUUGUGGAAGGGAUAAGUUUAGCCAUUUGCUCUCCUAUUAAGUACCGUAGCCACAUCUCAAUCUUGUCUGUCUCUACCAAAAGACUUAACGUUUAAUCCAUAGUUUGGGAUGAUUAAAAAGAAAAGCAUUUCCAAACACUUAAGGUUAAUUUACGUUUGAGAUGAGCAGUGGCCAGAAUUUCCAGUUCUCAGUGGAUGGCUUCCGAAUCAUCCUGGCAUGUAUGUGUGUGUGUGCGCGCGUGUGGGGUGUAAGAUAGGCUUGUUCAUUUAAAUGUAUAUGUUUGCAAAAAUACUGCACAACUUGUUUGAGUUUAUUAUAUUUAUGGCUGGUGUAUAAUUUAACUUGAUUUAUUUGAAGCUGGAGGGCAUGUAUUACACAGGGGAGUGAGAAAGUAAAGCUGCUGUAUUCCUUUCUAAUGUCUGUUUGUUUCUUUGGGCAACUGUUAACCAUUUGCUGGGGUUCAAUGGCUCUGCACUGUAACGGGGUAUUGAGUUCGAUAGCUAGUGAUCCGCUGUGCUGAACGUGAGCCUCCUUCACAAAAGUGUCCACUUUGAUUAAGCCCUUCUUCUGAUCUCCUUUGCCCCAGGACGUUCAAUGUUCCAUUGCUUCUGCAGUCAGCUCCAUAAGUAAGGAGAUCUUCAGGUGGAAGUUACUUUCCCUGCUUUUUAUCAGAUCUCAGCCAAGUCAAACACACAGUGAGAAGGAUUUCACCUUGGAGAGGAAGAGAUGAGCACAAGUGCCUCCUGCUGUGGCCUAGCACUCUGUUCGCCAGUUGCGGGUACUGCUGUUUCCACAUAUCCUAAUGAUACUGUUGGCCAUUUCGACCCAUUCAGUAUAUGCUGGCUCAUAGAGUAAUUCCAUUCCCCAGUAAUUUUCCCUGCAACAUAUUCUCCUCACAUUCCUAUCAGCUCCCCCCGGAUCUACCAGUCAUUUACAGUCGCCAAUUUUCCCACCAACCUCCACGUCUUUGGGAUGUGGGAGAAAGCCAGGCUAUCUGGAAGAACCCAUGUGGUCACGGGGAGAACAUCGAAGCUCCACUCCGAAAGUACUGGAGGUCAGGCUCGAAUCUGGGUUGCUGAAACUGCAAGGCAGCAGCUCCACCAGCUGCGCCACGUUUUAUUGGAGAGGUCAAGUCUGCAGCCAGCUUGACUCUCCCGCCAUCUCACUGAAGCAAGGGCUUGGUGGGAAUGGGCAGAGACAGCAUGGGACAAAGGAAAUGAUGCCUGCCACUGAACAACAUGCACAACUGAGACCUCACGGGGAGGAUGUGUUACAACUGAGCACUAUGCAGGGGGACAGGGAAAUAGGGAGAUGGCGAUAAAUGAGAAAUAAUAUCGGUCAUAUAGUUAGUUAUUUAGGACAGGUUGAAAGGAUUGGAGGAAUAGUUUAAGCAUCUUAGUUGGGAGCAGACCUGUAGCUGAAAAACCAGACUUUUUGUGCACUGGUGAUGCUUCUAGAGUUCAACUUGGUUGCUCAGUGUCCAAGAGGUUUACUCACGUAAUGGAAUGAAGCAGUAGCACCACUUGCGACAGAACCUUUGUUACAAAGGGCAGUGCAAUGGUUUACAAUGCUAUUUAUACACUCAUUAUUUAUUUAUGAUGUGGACUGGCUGUUGUUGCUGUCGGAUCUGGUUAUUUUUGAAUCUGCAGGUUCUUUCAGGAGUCCAGGAAUGAGUUGAAAGCAACUUGGUGCUUCACUAAGUUUUAUUGGAAAGGUUUAAAACAAAGAAACAGUCACAGAGCACAUGGCACUAGCUUUACUAUUAGGAGAUGAGCCGAGACAAAAGGAACUAAAGAUGAGCUAGGGCCAGGGGGGGAAGUGAGCAAGAGAGAGAUUGACAAAAACCGACACUUUUUAUACCUGAGAUAAGAGGUCCUCCUUAGCUAACAACAGUCCAAUCAGGAAACCUAUUAGAUAUCUGUGGCCAAACCAACCAAUGAAAAAACACAUUCACCUGAUGGACGAACCAAUAAGCUAGGAAGCAGCCAUUCCUUGUUCAGCCAUUUGAGGUGCAUUAAAUACUAUACAUGUUUUAAAAAACUACAUAAAACAGUCAAAUCCAACAUUGCUGAGAAGGAUCCUUCAGUAAAGUCCCAGCAAUCGACAAACUUACUUUGAAGCCAUCAAGCAUUUCUCCCUGCACCGUGCCCAGCGAGCAACAAGGCCAGCAGAAAGGUUGAAGUGGCGCCAAAGUUCUUUCCUCUGAUAACUCUGCAAGGUAACAAAAUACAGGGAGUCACCAGCAUACUACUUUCUCUCAGGGGUUCAGGCAGCCAGAAUAAUGUGAGCUUGUUCUGUUAUGACUUCUCUGAGCUCUGCGUCAAUUAAUCGGGUUAGAAUUGGGGAAACAACUGCCCCGCUUGAAUUUAUUCUCCUCUGCAGUACUGCAGUGAGCUCUGCAACAGAGACCCUGGCUGGAAGCUGGCACAGACCAGUGCCAUAAAUGAACUGAACUAGCCUCCCAUAGUGAAUUUGACACCAUCUGGUCAUCAGACCAUUAGCCCUUGUUCUGCCCUCCAACAGGCAGAUUAUUUAUAUUACAUAAUUGGUCAUCUAGCUGGCAUUGGACAAGCGAUGCCGAUGUUGCCACCUUGGAAGUUUUAAUAAGCUUGCUGUAAAUUCUGUGAACGUAAUGAUGGGUUUCAUCUUUCCCUUGUCAGCCAUGAAUUAAGUAAGUGGAUGUGACACGGAUUCCAUGCUAAUUUUAAACUACUUUGUGUGUACAACCCACGGACUGUUAAAUGAAGUGUUGCGUUUGAGUGAGGUAUUCAUUAAGUUUGAAAAUGACCCUUGCAGAAAAAUUGAAAGGAAUACAGCAGCUUUAAAAGGGGACACUCAAAAAAUAAAUGGAGCCCUGUCUAGCUGAGAUUUGCUGGUUUUUAACUGGAGAAUCACUGGAUAACCUGGUGUUGGAUGUGGCCGUAUUGAUUCUAGAGCUGCGGACAGGAAAGCAACAAGAAAGGUACCAAAUGGAAAAGUACAGCUAUAAUAGUGGGACUCUAUGCUGAGUCUGGUCACAGCGAGAGGUCAACAGGAGGACUGAGAAUAUAUAACGUCCUCACCAACCUGUGGGAAUCCCCGGCUUGUGACUGAUCAAAAUGGAGGAGCAUCCGGGUUGGCACUGAGAACGCUGAGACUCCUGGAUGGAAGUAUAGACGGUCCUGGACAGAAGUAUAAACUCCCUCAACACUCAAUCAGCCAUUCCAUUAGAUCUAUAUUCUUUGGAGUUUGGAAGAAUGAUCUUAUUGAAACAUAUAAGAUCCUUAAGGGGCAUAACAGGGUAGAUGUUGAGAUGUCUUCAU